GUAGACUUGGAGUUCCAGUUCUAACUUGGAAUUCCUGAACCUACUGCCUCUAUGGUGCUGUUCUACACCCAGCCACUAAUCUGUCCCCUGAGCAGUUACAGGCUUCCUUUCUCCUUUACUUUAAGGUUGAUUUGAGGCACUUCUGGAACUUAAAAAUCCCAA
rnacentral:lncRNA from 1 species